AUAUAUAUAUACAGGUAUAUCCAAAUAUACAUGAGUGAAUAUUUAUAUAGAUAUUAAUAUUGCUAUUAUUAUCGAAGGCAAUAUAAAUAGUUGAUAAUAACUGCAACAUU